GACGAACGCUGGCGGCGUGCUUAACACAUGCAAGUCGAACGAAGAGCGAUGGAAGCUUGCUUCUCUCAAUCUUAGUGGCGAACGGGUGAGUAACGCGUAAUCAACCUGCCCUUCAGAGGGGGACAACAGUUGGAAACGACUGCUAAUACCGCAUACGAUCUAAUCUCGGCAUCGAGGAUAGACGAAAGGUGGCCUCUACAUGUAAGCUCUCACUGAAGGAGGGGAUUGCGUCUGAUUAGCUAGUUGGAGGGGUAACGGCCCACCAAGGCGAUGAUCAGUAGCCGGUCUGAGAGGAUGAACGGCCACAUUGGGACUGAGACACGGCCCAGACUCCUACGGGAGGCAGCAGUGGGGAAUCUUCCGCAAUGGACGAAAGUCUGACGGAGCAACGCCGCGUGAGUGAUGACGGCCUUCGGGUUGUAAAGCUCUGUUAAUCGGGACGAAAGGCCUUCUUGCGAAUAGUGAGAAGGAUUGACGGUACCGGAAUAGAAAGCCACGGCUAACUACGUG
rnacentral:rRNA from 1 species